rnacentral:rRNA from 1 species
GACGAACGCUGGCGGCGUGCUUAACACAUGCAAGUCGAACGGAAAGGCCCUGCUUUUGUGUGGUGCCCGAGUGGCGAACGGGUGAGUAACACGUGAGUCACCUGCCCUUUAGUUUGGGAUAACUUCAGGAAACUGGGGCUAAUACCGGCUAGGAGCUCCUGCUGCAUGGUGGGGUUUGGAAAGUUUCGGCGGUUGGGGAUGGACUCGCGGUUUAUCAGCUUGUUGGUGGGGGAGUGGCUUACCGAGGCUUUGGCGGGUAGCCGGCCUGAGAGCGUGAACGGGCACAAGGGGACUGAGAUACGGCCCAGAGUGGAACGGGAGGCAGCGGGGGGGAAUCUUGCACAACGGGGGGGAGCGUGAUGCGGAGACCUCCGGUGUGGGAUGCAGGCCAUGGUGUUAUGAACCGCAUUAGGCUGUGACGUAGCGUGAGUGACGUUACUGGGUAAAGAAGCACCGGCUAACUACGUG